GCAGUGAUGGUUCAGUGGUAGAAUUCUCCCCUUCCAUGUGAGAGACCCAGGUUUGAUUUCCAGCUACUGUA
rnacentral:tRNA from 1 species